GCUAAUGAAUGGUUAUAACUUUGGUAGAGAAAUGAUAGGAAAGCAGGAAAAGUCAUACAAAUCAACAACAAAAUACAUUAAGCAUGCUACCGUGGUAAAACAUUGAUGAAUAAACAUUUUUCAUCCUUAAGAAAUAACUUUAAGAAAUUGAUAGAACGGUUAUCCCUGAAUGAUGAAGGGCUUUGAAAUCAACAAGGGCAAAUAACCUGCGUGGAGUGGAGCCAGCGAAAAAGGCGUCGUUGUGCGUGGAGUGAAGGUAGCAGAGGGUGCAGGAAAGGAGGCUGGUGAUUGUGCCGCUGUGCGUGGACUUGAGGCAGUGAAGGCGCCAUGCGCGCGCGUGUAGUGGAGGAAGCGGAGCGGCGAUGCCGUUUGUGCGUGCAGUGGAGGCAGC
rnacentral:lncRNA from 1 species